rnacentral:rRNA from 1 species
UCCGGUUGAUCCUGCCAGAGGCUACUGCUAUCGGGGUUCGAUUAGGCCAUGCGAGUUAAAUGUUCUUCGUGAACAUAGCGAACUGCUCAGUAACACGUGGAUAACCUUCCCUUGGGUCCGGAAUAACCCCGGGAAACUGGGGAUAAUACCGGAUAAGCCAUAGACGCUGGAAUGCCCUAUGGUUCAAAGCUCCGGCGCCUAAGGAUGGAUCUGCGGUCUAUCAGGUUGUAGUGGGUGUAACGUACCUACUAGCCGACGACGGAUACGGGUUGUGAGAGCAAGAGCCCGGAGAUGGAUUCUGAGACACGAAUCCAGGCCCUACGGGGUGCAGCAGGCGCGAACACUUUACAAUGCGGGAAACCGCGAUAAGGGAACCCCGAGUGCCAGCAUCAAAUGUUGGCUGUCCAGAUGAUUAAAAAUCAUUUGUUAGCAAGGGCCGGGCAAGACCGGUGCCAGCCGCCGCGGUAACACCGGCGGCCCGAGUGGUAGCCGUUUUUAUUGGGUCUAAAGGGUCCGUAGCCGGCCUGAUAAGUCCUUUGGGAAAUCUGGCAGCUUAACUGUCAGGCUUCUAAGGGAUACUGUCAGGCUUGGGACCGGAAGAGGUAAGGGGUACUCCAGGGGUAGGAGUGAAAUCUUGUAAUCCCUGGGGGACCAUCUGUGGCGAAGGCGCCUUACCAGAACGGGUCCGACGGUGAGGGACGAAAGCUAGGGGAGCAAACCGGAUUAGAUACCCGGGUAGUCCUAGCUGUAAACGAUGCUCGCUAGGUGUCAGACACGGUGCGACCGUGUUUGGUGCCGCAGGGAAGCCGUUAAGCGAGCCACCUGGGAAGUACGGUCGCAAGGCUGAAACUUAAAGGAAUUGGCGGGGGAGCAC